rnacentral:rRNA from 1 species
ACGUUAAUCGGGGCAGGGUGAGUCGACCCCUAAGGCGAGGCCGAAAGGCGUAGUCGAUGGGAAACGGGUUAAUAUUCCCGUACUUGGUGUUACUGCGAAGGGGGGACGGAGAAGGCUAUGUUGGCCGGGCGACGGUUGUCCCGGUUUAAGCGUGUAGGUGUGUGUUCCAGGUAAAUCCGGUUCACUUUAACACUGAGGCGUGACGACGAGGCACUACGGUGCUGAAGCAACAAAUGCCCUGCUUCCAGGAAAAGCCUCUAAGCAUCAGGUAACAUCAAAUCGUACCCCAAACCGACACAGGUGGUCAGGUAGAGAAUACCAAGGCGCUUGAGAGAACUCGGGUGAAGGAACUAGGCAAAAUGGUGCCGUAACUUCGGGAGAAGGCACGCUGACACGUAGGUGAAGUGAUUUACUCAUGGAGCUGAAGUCAGUCGAAGAUACCAGCUGGCUGCAACUGUUUAUUAAAAACACAGCACUGUGCAAACACGAAAGUGGACGUAUACGGUGUGACGCCUGCCCGGUGCCGGAAGGUUAAUUGAUGGGGUCAGCGCAAGCGAAGCUCCUGAUCGAAGCCCCGGUAAACGGCGGCCGUAACUAUAACGGUCCUAAGGUAGCGAAAUUCCUUGUCGGGUAAGUUCCGACCUGCACGAAUGGCGUAAUGAUGGCCAGGCUGUCUCCACCCGAGACUCAGUGAAAUUGAACUCGCUGUGAAGAUGCAGUGUACCCGCGGCAAGACGGAAAGACCCCGUGAACCUUUACUAUAGCUUGACACUGAACAUUGAGCCUUGAUGUGUAGGAUAGGUGGGAGGCUUUGAAGUGUGGACGCCAGUCUGCAUGGAGCCGACCUUGAAAUACCACCCUUUAAUGUUUGAUGUUCUAACGUGGACCCGUUACCCGGGUUGCGGACAGUGUCUGGUGGGUAGUUUGACUGGGGCGGUCUCCUCCUAAAGAGUAACGGAGGAGCACGAAGGUUGGCUAAUCCUGGUCGGACAUCAGGAGGUUAGUGCAAUGGCAUAAGCCAGCUUGACUGCGAGCGUGACGGCGCGAGCAGGUGCGAAAGCAGGUCAUAGUGAUCCGGUGGUUCUGAAUGGAAGGGCCAUCGCUCAACGGAUAAAAGGUACUCCGGGGAUAACAGGCUGAUACCGCCCAAGAGUUCAUAUCGACGGCGGUGUUUGGCACCUCGAUGUCGGCUCAUCACAUCCUGGGGCUGAAGUAGGUCCCAAGGGUAUGGCUGUUCGCCAUUUAAAGUGGUACGCGAGCUGGGUUUAGAACGUCGUGAGACAGUUCGGUCCCUAUCUGCCGUGGGCGCUGGAGAACUGAGGGGGGCUGCUCCUAGUACGAGAGGACCGGAGUGGACGCAUCACUGGUGUUCGGGUUGUCAUGCCAAUGGCACUGCCCGGUAGCUAAAUGCGGAAGAGAUAAGUGCUGAAAGCAUCUAAGCACGAAACUUGCCCCGA